UUAAGCGACUAAGCGUACACGGUGGAUGCCCUGGCAGUCAGAGGCGAUGAAGGACGUGCUAAUCUGCGAUAAGCGUCGGUAAGGUGAUAUGAACCGUUAUAACCGGCGAUUUCCGAAUGGGGAAACCCAGUGUGAUUCGUCACACUAUCAUUAACUGAAUCCAUAGGUUAAUGAGGCAAACCGGGGGAACUGAAACAUCUAAGUACCCCGAGGAAAAGAAAUCAACCGAGAUUCCCCCAGUAGCGGCGAGCGAACGGGGAGCAGCCCAGAGCCUGAAUCAGUGUGUGUGUUAGUGGAAGCGUCUGGAAAGGCGCGCGAUACAGGGUGACAGCCCCGUACACAAAAAUGCACAUGCUGUGAGCUCGAUGAGUAGGGCGGGACACGUGGUAUCCUGUCUGAAUAUGGGGGGACCAUCCUCCAAGGCUAAAUACUCCUGACUGACCGAUAGUGAACCAGUACCGUGAGGGAAAGGCGAAAAGAACCCCGGCGAGGGGAGUGAAAAAGAACCUGAAACCGUGUACGUACAAGCAGUGGGAGCACGCUUCGGCGUGUGACUGCGUACCUUUUGUAUAAUGGGUCAGCGACUUAUAUUCUGUAGCAAGGUUAACCGAAUAGGGGAGCCGAAGGGAAACCGAGUCUUAACUGGGCGUUAAGUUGCAGGGUAUAGACCCGAAACCCGGUGAUCUAGCCAUGGGCAGGUUGAAGGUUGGGUAACACUAACUGGAGGACCGAACCGACUAAUGUUGAAAAAUUAGCGGAUGACUUGUGGCUGGGGGUGAAAGGCCAAUCAAACCGGGAGAUAGCUGGUUCUCCCCGAAAGCUAUUUAGGUAGCGCCUCGUGAAUUCAUCUCCGGGGGUAGAGCACUGUUUCGGCAAGGGGGUCAUCCCGACUUACCAACCCGAUGCAAACUGCGAAUACCGGAGAAUGUUAUCACGGGAGACACACGGCGGGUGCUAACGUCCGUCGUGAAGAGGGAAACAACCCAGACCGCCAGCUAAGGUCCCAAAGUCAUGGUUAAGUGGGAAACGAUGUGGGAAGGCCCAGACAGCCAGGAUGUUGGCUUAGAAGCAGCCAUCAUUUAAAGAAAGCGUAAUAGCUCACUGGUCGAGUCGGCCUGCGCGGAAGAUGUAACGGGGCUAAACCAUGCACCGAAGCUGCGGCAGCGACACUAUGUGUUGUUGGGUAGGGGAGCGUUCUGUAAGCCUGUGAAGGUGUACUGUGAGGUAUGCUGGAGGUAUCAGAAGUGCGAAUGCUGACAUAAGUAACGAUAAAGCGGGUGAAAAGCCCGCUCGCCGGAAGACCAAGGGUUCCUGUCCAACGUUAAUCGGGGCAGGGUGAGUCGACCCCUAAGGCGAGGCCGAAAGGCGUAGUCGAUGGGAAACAGGUUAAUAUUCCUGUACUUGGUGUUACUGCGAAGGGGGGACGGAGAAGGCUAUGUUGGCCGGGCGACGGUUGUCCCGGUUUAAGCGUGUAGGCUGGUUUUCCAGGCAAAUCCGGAAAAUCAAGGCUGAGGCGUGAUGACGAGGCACUACGGUGCUGAAGCAACAAAUGCCCUGCUUCCAGGAAAAGCCUCUAAGCAUCAGGUAACAUCAAAUCGUACCCCAAACCGACACAGGUGGUCAGGUAGAGAAUACCAAGGCGCUUGAGAGAACUCGGGUGAAGGAACUAGGCAAAAUGGUGCCGUAACUUCGGGAGAAGGCACGCUGAUAUGUAGGUGAAGCGACUUGCUCGUGGAGCUGAAAUCAGUCGAAGAUACCAGCUGGCUGCAACUGUUUAUUAAAAACACAGCACUGUGCAAACACGAAAGUGGACGUAUACGGUGUGACGCCUGCCCGGUGCCGGAAGGUUAAUUGAUGGGGUUAGCGGUAACGCGAAGCUCUUGAUCGAAGCCCCGGUAAACGGCGGCCGUAACUAUAACGGUCCUAAGGUAGCGAAAUUCCUUGUCGGGUAAGUUCCGACCUGCACGAAUGGCGUAAUGAUGGCCAGGCUGUCUCCACCCGAGACUCAGUGAAAUUGAACUCGCUGUGAAGAUGCAGUGUACCCGCGGCAAGACGGAAAGACCCCGUGAACCUUUACUAUAGCUUGACACUGAACAUUGAGCCUUGAUGUGUAGGAUAGGUGGGAGGCUUUGAAGUGUGGACGCCAGUCUGCAUGGAGCCGACCUUGAAAUACCACCCUUUAAUGUUUGAUGUUCUAACGUUGACCCGUGAUCCGGGUUGCGGACAGUGUCUGGUGGGUAGUUUGACUGGGGCGGUCUCCUCCUAAAGAGUAACGGAGGAGCACGAAGGUUGGCUAAUCCUGGUCGGACAUCAGGAGGUUAGUGCAAUGGCAUAAGCCAGCUUGACUGCGAGCGUGACGGCGCGAGCAGGUGCGAAAGCAGGUCAUAGUGAUCCGGUGGUUCUGAAUGGAAGGGCCAUCGCUCAACGGAUAAAAGGUACUCCGGGGAUAACAGGCUGAUACCGCCCAAGAGUUCAUAUCGACGGCGGUGUUUGGCACCUCGAUGUCGGCUCAUCACAUCCUGGGGCUGAAGUAGGUCCCAAGGGUAUGGCUGUUCGCCAUUUAAAGUGGUACGCGAGCUGGGUUUAGAACGUCGUGAGACAGUUCGGUCCCUAUCUGCCGUGGGCGCUGGAGAACUGAGGGGGGCUGCUCCUAGUACGAGAGGACCGGAGUGGACGCAUCACUGGUGUUCGGGUUGUCAUGCCAAUGGCACUGCCCGGUAGCUAAAUGCGGAAGAGAUAAGUGCUGAAAGCAUCUAAGCACGAAACUUGCCCCGAGAUGAGUUCUCCCUGACUCCCUGAGAGUCCUGAAGGAACGUUGAAGACGACGACGUUGAUAGGCCGGGUGUGUAAGCGCAGCGAUGCGUUGAGCUAACCGGUACUAAUGAACCGUGAGGCUUAACCUU
rnacentral:rRNA from 1 species